GACGAACGCUGGCGGCGUGCUUAACACAUGCAAGUCGAACGGAAAGGCCCUGCUUUCGUGGGGUGCUCGAGGGGCGAACGGGUGUGUAACACGUGAGUAACCUGCCCUUGACUUUGGGAUAACUUCAGGAAACGGGGGCUAAUACCGGAUAGGAGCGCCUGCUGCAUGGUGGGGGUUGGAAAGUUUCGGCGGUGGGGGAUGGACGCGCCGCUUAUCAGCUUGUUGGUGGGGUUGUGGCUUACCAAGGCCUUGGCGGGGAGCCGGCCUGAGAGGGGGACCGGCCACGUUGGGACGGAGCUGCGGCCCAGACUCCUACGGGCGGCAGAAGUGGGGAUUGUUGCACGAUGGGCGGAAGCCUGAUGCAGCGACGCCGCGUGCGGGAUGACGGCCUUCGGGUUGUCACCCGCUUUCGCCUGUGACGCAGCGUGAGUGACGGUAAUGGGUAAAGAAGCACCGGCUAACUACGUG
rnacentral:rRNA from 1 species